GCCACGAAGCACACUCAUUGUGACCACCAUUCUCUCCCCGGAAAAAACAGCCCCCCAAAUCGCUGCGUCUUCAAAGGAUUAUAUCAAAAUCCACGAGCCCAUCUCUUUCACAAUGUCGCGCAAUAUGAUCGUCAACAUGUCUUUCAACUGCCCCGAGAUUCAAAUUCUCGGGCCGGUGCAAGAGAGCACCAUUGAACGACUCAAUGAGGUGCUUCCUGACUCGACAACUUCGACUCGCAGCAUCCGCAGUAACCAGCCAAAGUUCGAGUACCUGUCGAAUCCUGAUCACUGGAGAAUCAAACUGGACAACCAGUUCUGCGACCUCGAGGGUGUGUCGCGCUUGAUUGUUCUUUUGCUGGACGCGCUCGAGGAAGAGGGCGGCUGGACGCUUAUAUCGUCCCAGGCUUCCAGUUCUUCUCAUGGAGGCGCACUGCAGCAGGAUUUCGUGUCGAACUACAAGCUUUUCUUCUCCAAGUACCAAGAUGACGAGUGAGCACAGAUGUAGUUGAUAUGGGGAAUGCGUUUCUUUUACCAUUUCCUCCUUCGCUAUGAAGAUAAAAAUCAAAAGGAGGCUCAACGCCGUUUGAUAGCGUGGCUUUUAUUGAAAGCUCUAAGCCAGCAGACGCAGUUUUGCAGUUUGUUCUCUAUGUAGUCUCAGAAAUUUCCGUUCAUGUAUACUAGUUUUUUGUGUGUGUUGUGCGAAACAGAGUAAAUACAGCAAAAAAGUGACCGCGUGAGCAGUGCGCCUUAGCUGCAGGUCAAGGAUGAUGUAUGCAGUACGUAUGCUGCCUAGUUCGCAUGCAAAUAGCAUUUUUUCUUUCUCCAGCACUUGGAACGCCAAG
rnacentral:misc_RNA from 1 species